AGAGUUUGAUCCUGGCUCAGGAUGAACGCUAGCGGCAGGCCUAAUACAUGCAAGUCGAACGGAUGUAGCAAUACAUUAGUGGCGCACGGGUGCGUAACGCGUAUGCAACCUACCUUUCAGUGGGGGGAUAGCCCGGGGAAACCCGGAUUAAUACCGCAUAAGAUAGUUGAAUGGCAUCAUUUAAUUAUGAAACAUUUAUGGCUGAAAGAUGGGCAUGCGUUAGAUUAGCUAGUUGGUGAGGUAGAAGCUCACCAAGGCGAUGAUCUAUAGGGGUUCUGAGAGGAAGAUCCCCCACACUGGUACUGAGACAGGGACCAGACUCCUACGGGAGGCAGCAGUAGGGAAUAUUGGGCAAUGGAGGCAACUCUGACCCAGCUAUGCCGCGUGCAGGAAGAAGGCCUUCUGGGUUGUAAACUGCUUUUGGAAGGGAACAAAAAGACACUGCGGUGUAAAUUGAGUGUACCUUCAGAAUAAGCACCGGCUAACUCCGUGCCAGCAGCCGCGGUAAUACGGAGGGUGCAAGCGUUGUCCGGAUUUAUUGGGUUUAAAGGGUGCGUAGGCGGCUUAUUAAGUCAGGGGUGAAAGACGAUUGCUUAACGAUCGCAGUGCCUUUGAUACUGAUGAGCUUGAGUACAGAUGAGGCGGGCGGAAUGGGUGGUGUAGCGGUGAAAUGCAUAGAUACCAUCCAGAACACCGAUUGCGAAGGCAGCCUGCUAAACUGUAACUGACGCUGAGGCACGAAAGCGUGGGGAUCGAACAGGAUUAGAUACCCUAGUAGUCC
rnacentral:rRNA from 1 species